GGUUGUAAACCUCUUUCAGCAGGGAAGAAGCGAAAGUGACGGUACCUGCAGAAGAAGCGCCGGCUAACUACGUGCCAGCAGCCGCGGUAAUACGUAGGGCGCAAGCGUUGUCCGGAAUUAUUGGGCGUAAAGAGCUCGUAGGCGGCUUGUCACGUCGGAUGUGAAAGCCCGGGGCUUAACCCCGGGUCUGCAUUCGAUACGGGCUAGCUAGAGUGUGGUAGGGGAGAUCGGAAUUCCUGGUGUAGCGGUGAAAUGCGCAGAUAUCAGGAGGAACACCGGUGGCGAAGGCGGAUCUCUGGGCCAUUACUGACGCUGAGGAGCGAAAGCGUGGGGAGCGAACAGGAUUAGAUACCCUGGUAGUCCACGCCGUAAACGUUGGGAACUAGGUGUUGGCGACAUUCCACGUCGUCGGUGCCGCAGCUAACGCAUUAAGUUCCCCGCCUGGGGAGUACGGCCGCAAGGCUAAAACUCAAAGGAAUUGACGGGGGCCCGCACAAGCAGCGGAGCAUGUGGCUUAAUUCGACGCAACGCGAAGAACCUUACCAAGGCUUGACAUAUACC
rnacentral:rRNA from 1 species